rnacentral:lncRNA from 1 species
UGGCUCCUGCAGUAACUGAGUGGCAUCUUGCUGCAGAAUAAGGUAUGGAAAGCCCCUUGCUGAGAACUCUUGCCUUCCAAACAGCACUGAACACCUGACCAUGGUCAGAUGUGGCUGAGAUCUGCAGACAGAUGUCCAAAAAGUAUUUUCCUCCGGAUUGCUUCUCCUGGAAGGAUACUUCAUCCAGCCCCACUGUCGCUAUUCAUAUGCACAUGGGACUUUAAAAUAAUAACUUACGAGUGAACUCUUGAUUGCCUGUUGGAGCUCGGAUGAAGCUACCUUGAUGUAUGUCUGGAUGUCCUCCAGUGACCAUCUGGUGCUGCUUAGCUGUACCUUCUCGCCCUGAAAUGAGAUCAUCCAGGGAAGGAGCCAACAAGUUCUCGUGGCCGUUGGUCUCUGGCUUGGAUGUGUAACAAAGAGUUCCUGGAGUAAGAGAGGUAAAUGAAAUCGAGAUACUAGUCAGUGCUUUUGUGA